UGGCGAACGGGUGAGUAAUAUAUCGGAACGUACCCAAGAGUGGGGGAUAACGUAGCGAAAGUUACGCUAAUACCGCAUACGAUCUAAGGAUGAAAGCAGGGGAUCUUCGGACCUUGUGCUCCUGGAGCGGCCGAUAUCUGAUUAGCUAGUUGGUGAGGUAAAGGCUCACCAAGGCCACGAUCAGUAGCUGGUCUGAGAGGACGACCAGCCACACUGGAACUGAGACACGGUCCAGACUCCUACGGGAGGCAGCAGUGGGGAAUUUUGGACAAUGGGCGAAAGCCUGAUCCAGCAAUGCCGCGUGAGUGAAGAAGGCCUUCGGGUUGUAAAGCUCUUUUGUCAGGGAAGAAACGGUUUGGGCUAAUAUCCUGAGCUAAUGACGGUACCUGAAGAAUAAGCACCGGCUAACUACGUGCCAGCAGCCGCGGUAAUACGUAGGGUGCAAGCGUUAAUCGGAAUUACUGGGCGUAAAGCGUGCGCAGGCGGUUUUGUAAGUCUGACGUGAAAUCCCCGGGCUCAACCUGGGAAUUGCGUUGGAGACUGCAAGGCUAGAAUCUGGCAGAGGGGGGUAGAAUUCCACGUGUAGCAGUGAAAUGCGUAGAGAUGUGGAGGAACACCGAUGGCGAAGGCAGCCCCCUGGGUCAAGAUUGACGCUCAUGCACGAAAGCGUGGGGAGCAAACAGGAUUAGAUACCCUGGUAGUCCACGCCCUAAACGAUGUCUACUAGUUGUCGGGUUUUAAUUAACUUGGUAACGCAGCUAACGCGUGAAGUAGACCGCCUGGGGAGUACGGUCGCAAGAUUAAAACUCAAAGGAAUUGACGGGGACCCGCACAAGCGGUGGAUGAUGUGGAUUAAUUCGAUGCAACGCGAAAAACCUUACCUACCCUUGA
rnacentral:rRNA from 1 species